CUCCCUCGUUGCUGACCCCGAGGUUCGAUAGUACCAAUUAGGCGAUCACCUCGCCAAGAACCAACUUCGAUGAAGCGACGGGCGGUGUGUGCAAGGAG
rnacentral:rRNA from 1 species